AAUAUACUCCAUCCGUCUGAAAUUACUUGUCGCGGAUAUCGGUGUAUCUAGAUGUAUUUUAGUUCUAGAUACACCCAUCUCUAUUCGUUUUCAUGACAAGAAAUUCCGUAUGGAGGGACUAUGAU
rnacentral:pre_miRNA from 1 species